rnacentral:rRNA from 1 species
CCCCGUCAAUUCCUUUGAGUUUUAACCUUGCGGCCGUACUCCCCAGGCGGUCGACUUAACGUGUUAGCUCCGGAAGCCACGCCUCAAGGGCACAACCUCCAAGUCGACAUCGUUUACGGCGUGGACUACCAGGGUAUCUAAUCCUGUUUGCUCCCCACGCUUUCGUGUCUCAGCGUCAGAUUCAGCCCAGUACCCCGCUUUCGCCACCGGCGUUCCCUUGAUAUCUACGCAUUUCACCGCUCCACCCAAAGUUCCGGGUACCCCUGCUGACCUCAAGAAUGGUGGUUUACCGAGCAGUUCCUCGGUUGAGCCGAGGGCUUUCACAAGAUACCUUCCAUUCCGCCUACACACGCUUUAAGCCCAAUGAUUCCGAACAACGCUUGCCUCCUCCGUAUUACCGCGGCUGCUGGCACGGAGUUAGCCGAGGCUUCCUUUGGGGUUGGUCACUUUCUUCCUAACCCCUGACAGUAGUUUACACCCGAAGUGCUUCGUCCUACACGCGGCGUCGCUGCGUCAGG